UACGUAGGGUGCGAGCGUUAAUCGGAAUUACUGGGCGUAAAGUGUGCGCAGGCGGCCGAGCAAGUCGAGUGUGAAAGCCCCGGGCUUAACUUGGGAAUUGCGCUCGAAACUACUUGGCUGGAGUGUGGCAGAGGAAGGUGGAAUUCCACGUGUAGCGGUGAAAUGCGUAGAGAUGUGGAGGAACACCGAUGGCGAAGGCAGCCUUCUGGGCCAACACUGACGCUCAUGCACGAAAGCGUGGGGAGCAAACAGGA
rnacentral:rRNA from 1 species